rnacentral:rRNA from 1 species
AGUGAACGCUGGCGGUAGGCCUAACACAUGCAAGUCGAACGGCAGCACAGGAGAGCUUGCUCUCUAGGUGGCGAGCGGCGGACGGGUGAGGAAUACAUCGGAAUCUGCCCAGUCGUGGGGGAUAACGUAGGGAAACUUACGCUAAUACCGCAUACGACCUUCGGGUGAAAGAGGGGGAUCGCAAGACCUCUCGCGAUUGGAUGAGCCGAUGUCGGAUUAGCUAGUUAGCGGGGUAAUGGCCCACCAAGGCGACGAUCCGUAGCUGGUCUGAGAGGAUGAUCAGCCACACUGGAACUGAGACACGGUCCAGACUCCUACGGGAGGCAGCAGUGGGGAAUAUUGGACAAAGGGCGCAAGCCUGAUCCAGCCAUACCGCGUGGGUGAAGAAGGCCUUCGGGUUGUAAAGCCCUUUUGUUGGGAAAGAAAUCUUUCAGGCUAAUACCCUGGGAGGAUGACGGUACCCAAAGAAUAAGCACCGGCUAACUUCGUG